GAGUUCAGUUUCUUUUACAAGGCAACUGGUUAGAAUGUUUGCUUUGAAUGCAGGAGGUUCCAGGUUCGAACCAUGGCAGAGUCA